UUUGGACUCGCUGGAUAGAACUAUUUCUUUACUGUAGGCCAGGAGGAUUUUGGUGCCCGGUGAGGAUAGGGAGGACGUUGGUCGUUGUUUUGUUUUCGUAGUUGGUGUCUCUUCUUCUGGUUUUACCGACGGCCAAGUACAGGUCGGGUUGAAGAAUGAAGACUGACUAAGUAGCACUUGGGAUAAAAACAAAAACAGAG